UACGUAGGGCGCAAGCGUUGUCCGGAUUUAUUGGGCGUAAAGGGCGCGUAGGCGGCCGGCCAAGUCGGGGGUGAAAGCCUGUGGCUCAACCACAGAAUGGCCCUCGAUACUGGCUGGCUCGAGACCGGAAGAGGUUGGUGGAAUUGCGAGUGUAGAGGUGAAAUUCGUAGAUAUUCGCAAGAACACCGGUGGCGAAGGCGGCCAACUGGUCCGGAUCUGACGCUGAGGCGCGAAAGCGUGGGGAGCAAACAGG
rnacentral:rRNA from 1 species